CGAGGCGUAGCGCAGAUGGUAGCGCGCUUGGUUCGGGACCAAGAGGUCGUGGGUUCGAAUCCCGUCGCCUCGACCA
rnacentral:tRNA from 3 species